GUCUACAGCGAUACCACCCUGAACGUGCCCAAUGUCGUCUGAUCUUAGAAGCUAAGCAGGGUUGGCCUGGUUAGCACUUGCAUGGCAGAGUACAUGAUCUAAGGCC
rnacentral:rRNA from 1 species